rnacentral:rRNA from 1 species
CCUACGGGUGGCAGCAGUGAGGAAUAUUGGUCAAUGGUCGGGAGACUGAACCAGCCAAGCCGCGUGAGGGAGGAAGGUACAGAGUAUCGUAAACCUCUUUUGUCAGGGAACAAAGACUGGGACGCGUCCCCGGAUGAGUGUACCUGAAGCAAAAGCAUCGGCUAACUCCGUGCCAGCAGCCGCGGUAAUACGGAGGAUGCGAGCGUUAUCCGGAUUAAUUGGGUUUAAAGGGUGCGCAGGCGGUCUGUUAAGUCAGCGGUAAAAGCCCGGGGCCAACCCCCGGCCCGCCGUUGAAACUGGCAGUCUCGAGUUGGAGAGAAGUAUGCGGAAUGCGAGGUGUAGCGGUGAAAUGCAUAGAUAUCGCGCAGAACUCCGAUUGCGAAGGCAGCAUGCCGGCUCCACACUGACGCUGAGGCACGAAAGCGUGGGUAGCGAACAGGAUUAGAUACCCUAGUAGUC